rnacentral:tRNA from 1 species
GCCCACAUGGCUCAGGGGUAGAGCACUCCCUUGGUAAGGGAGAGGUCGCGAGUUCGAAUCUCGCUGUGGGCA